CGGCCCGGAGAGUACCCGGAGAAAAAGCAUCGGCUAACUCCGUGCCAGCAGCCGCGGUAAUACGGAGGAUGCGAGCGUUAUCCGGAUUUAUUGGGUUUAAAGGGUGCGUAGGCGGGCUUUUAAGUCAGCGGUAAAUAUUCGGGGCUCAACCCCGUCCGGCCGUUGAAACUGGGGGCCUUGAGUGGGCGAGAAGAAGGCGGAAUGCGUGGUGUAGCGGUGAAAUGCAUAGAUAUCACGAAAAACCCCGAUUGCGAAGGCAGCCUUCCGGCGCCCUACUGACGCUNNGGCACNAAANUNCNNNNAUCCCACAAAGGAANAUACCCNNNUANUCCNCACANNAAACGACCCCAGUAAGAAGUCCGGGCCGAAUGGGGCCUGGGUGGCAAAGCGAAAGCGUUAAGCAUCCCACCUGGGGAGUACGCCGGCAACGGUGAAACUCAAAGGAAUUGACGGGGGCCCGCACAAGCGGAGGAACAUGUGGUUUAAUUCGAUGAUACGCGAGGAACCUUACCCGGGCUCAAACGCGUCAGGGAUUCCCUUCGAAAGGAGGGGAGUCAGCAAUGACCUGGCGCGAGGUGCUGCAUGGUUGUCGUCAGCUCGUGCCGUGAGGUGUUGGCUUAAGUGCCAUAACGAGCGCAACCCCUACCGACAGUUGCUAACUGGUGAAGCAGAGGACUCUGUCGGGACUGCCGGCGCAAGCUGCGAGGAAGGCGGGGAUGACGUCAAAUCAGCACGGCCCUUACGUCCGGGGCGACACACGUGUUACAAUGGCAGGUACAGCGGGAAGCCACCGGGCGACCGGGCGCGGAACCCGAAAACCUGUCUCAGUUCGGAUCGGAGUCUGCAACCCGACUCCGUGAAGCUGGAUUCGCUAGUAAUCGCGCAUCAG
rnacentral:rRNA from 1 species